AAAACAUUUUUUUCACUCUGCUUUUAUGAAUUAAUGAGUUAAUUAUCUCAGAAUUAUGAGAAUAAUCUUCAUGAAAAAAAAUUUUUGCUCUGUUUUUCUGAAUUAACGAGAUCCCUCAAAAUCCUGCGAGAAGCUUUCACCUGCACGAAGUAACGUCAGGCCACAGUUGCUGAUGCUAAUCAGCCUGACCCUUCAACAACAACAGUGCCAGGUCUACAUGGGUUCAGUGCAGGGCCAGCUAUGGCUACGUCUUCAAAUACCCCCCUCCCACAAGAUGACGGUCUGUGGAUGUUUCUUCAGAGCUGAGGGAUUCCUGAGGAAAAUAUUCAGAAAAUGCAGCAAGAUCAUAUUGACAGCUCGGUAGUUGGAGAAAUAGAUGAUACCACUAUGACUGCUUACAUUCCAGC